CAGCCGCCGCGGUAAUACAGAGGGUGCGAGCGUUAAUCGGAUUUACUGGGCGUAAAGCGUGCGUAGGCGGCUUUUUAAGUCGGAUGUGAAAUCCCUGAGCUUAACUUAGGAAUUGCAUUCGAUACUGGGAAGCUAGAGUAUGGGAGAGGAUGGUAUAAUUCCAGGUGUAGCGGUGAAAUGCGUAGAGAUCUGGAGGAAUACCGAUGGCGAAGGCAGCCAUCUGGCCUAAUACUGACGCUGAGGUACGAAAGCAUGGGGAGCAAACAGGAUUAGAUACCCCCGUAGUCCCUGUCUCUUAUAC
rnacentral:rRNA from 1 species